UAGAGCGUAUGAUUCAAGGUC
rnacentral:piRNA from 1 species